ensembl:lncRNA novel transcript
AAGAUGACGAUAGAAUUUUCUAUAAUCGAUUAACGAAGCUUUUUGAUGAGAGCAGACAAGGAGAACCCCAAGAUGAGAGUGGCCGGGAGGAGACUCUGAAUUCUGAAGCACCUGGGAGUUCCAAUAAGAGUCACGAAAUCCACAAAGAAGCCAGCGAAGCCACCACUGCUCACCUUGAGGAGUUCCAAAGAUCUCAGAAAACUAUAAUUCUGCUUGGAAGUUCUCCAUUAGAACAGGAAAUUAGAUCUACUUCAUUGCAUUGUAUGGAGGAUGAGAUGAGUCAUCCAUGGAUACUCUUGCUCAAAGUAACUGCUGUAAUCAGAAGCAGGAGGUACUAUAGAGAGCAAAGAUUCUAAAACCCAUUCUCAGGAUUUGAAAUUCGAAGGGGAAGGCCUCAACGAAUACAUUCCUAUGUCACUUUUAAAGACUGGUAAAACAUUUGAGAAAACUCCAAGUCAACCAUUCAUUGCAGACCUAAAUAUUUGUAAAAAGGACAGUGCAGCCCAGCUUGGUACCCUCACAGAAGUAACUAAUGACUCAAAGGGAGCAGCAGGACCCCGCUGGAAGAGAGAUAAAGAUUUUUUAUGGCUUGCUGACUUGAAACAACCACGAGAACCAGUGAAGAGAUGGCUAAGCGGCCAUGCAUAGUAAUUCCACUGUUCCUGCGUAAUUCAAGAACCCCACCUUUUGUGGAAAAUGAGCAGUCUCAACCACCUCAGCCUCUGCAAAUCCAGAUCAGAUGCCUGAGGGGCCUUAAAGACAAGGCUCCUCCAGGCUCUUAUGUCCUCAAAGUGUCCAAGUGUCCCUGCUUGGUCGACUGGGAGGCUGUGUCUUGCAGUGGUGGCAAACGGAGCAACUAAAGACCAGAAAACACUCCGUCAGGCACAAUGGAAACUUUUAUGAUGUGGGGGUGUAUUUCCACGAAAACCUUUAUGUGGUGCUCCCUCAAAGGAAAAAUGUGAGCCCUGGCAUGGUUUCUUGUUUGAACUCUUUCUUCUUCGUGGAACAUACACUUGCCUGGACCGGGCUGUGGGCUGAGCAGUGUUCCCUUUGUGUAAUAACAACUUUGAUACAGUGGAGGGAAAAUUUAAGUGUCCCCUUCUAUGAGGACAUUAUGACCAGAAACUCAGUAACUUUAGGAAAAUUGAAGAUUUGAUUUGCCUGGACUUGGACCACUGGCUGUGCAAUCUCUAUUUUCAG